rnacentral:rRNA from 1 species
UUUCUUAAGUCUGAUGUGAAAGCCCACGGCUCAACCGUGGAGGGUCAUUGGAAACUGGGAAACUUGAGUGCAGAAGAGGAAAGUGGAAUUCCAUGUGUAGCGGUGAAAUGCGCAGAGAUAUGGAGGAACACCAGUGGCGAAGGCGACUUUCUGGUCUGUAACUGACGCUGAUGUGCGAAAGCGUGGGGAUCAAACAGGAUUAGAUACCCUGGUAGUCCACGCCGUAAACGAUGAGUGCUAAGUGUUAGGGGGUUUCCGCCCCUUAGUGCUGCAGCUAACGCAUUAAGCACUCCGCCUGGGGAGUACGACCGCAAGGUUGAAACUCAAAGGAAUUGACGGGGACCCGCACAAGCGGUGGAGCAUGUGGUUUAAUUUGAAGCAACGCGAAGAACCUUACCAAAUCUUGACAUCCUUUGAAAACUCUAGAGAUAGAGCCUUCCCCUUCGGGGGACAAAGUGACAGGUGGUGCAUGGUUGUCGUCAGCUCGUGUCGUGAGAUGUUGGGUUAAGUCCCGCAACGAGCGCAACCCUUAAGCUUAGUUGCCAUCAUUAAGUUGGGCACUCUAGGUUGACUGCCGGUGACAAACCGGAGGAAGGUGGGGAUGACGUCAAAUCAUCAUGCCCCUUAUGAUUUGGGCUACACACGUGCUACAAUGGACAAUACAAAGGGCAGCUAAACCGCGAGGUCAUGCAAAUCCCAUAAAGUUGUUCUCAGUUCGGAUUGUAGUCUGCAACUCGACUACAUGAAGCUGGAAUCGCUAGUAAUCGUAGAUCAGCAUGCUACGGUGAAUACGUUCCCGGGUCUUGUACACACCGCCCGUCACACCACGAGAGUUUGUAACACCCGAAGCCGGUGGAGUAACCAUUUAUGGAGC